CGGUUGAUCCUGCCGGAGGUUACUGCUAUCGGGGUUCGAUUAAGCCAUGCAAGUUAAAUGUUUUUCGUAAACAUAGCGAACUGCUCAGUAACACGUGGAUAACUUAACCUUAGGUCCGGCAUAACCCCGGGAAACUGGGGAUAAUUCCGGAUGUAUCAAGGAUGCUGGAAUGCCCUUUGGUUCAAAGCUUUUGUGCCUAAGGAUAGGUCUGCGGUCUAUCAGGUUGUAGUGGGUGUAACGUACCUACUAGCCGACGACGGAUACGGGUUGUGAGAGCAAGAGCCCGGAGAUGGAUUCUGAGACAAGAAUCCAGGCCCUACGGGGUGCAGCAGGCGCGAACACUUUACAAUGCGGGAAACCGCGAUAAGGGAACCCCGAGUGCCAGUACUAAGUGCUGGCUGUCUAGAUGAAUAGAUAUCAUUUAAUAGCAAGGGCCGGGCAAGACCGGUGCCAGCCGCCGCGGUAACACCGGCGGCCCGAGUGGUAACCGAUAUUAUUGGGUCUAAAGGGUCCGUAGCCUGUUUAAUAAGUCCUUUGGGAAAUCUGGCAGCUUAACUGUCAGGCUGCUAAAGGAUACUGUUAAACUUGGGACCGGUAGACGUAGGGGGUACUCCAGGGGUAGGAGUGAAAUCUUGUAAUCCCUGGGGGACCAUCUGUGGCGAAGGCGCCCUACGAGAACGGGUCCGACGGUGAGGGACGAAAGCUAGGGGAGCAAACCGGAUUAGAUACCCGGGUAGUCCUAGCUGUAAACGAUGCUCGCUAGGUGUCAGGCACGGUGCGUCCGUGUCUGGUGCCGCAGGGAAGCCGUUAAGCGAGCCACCUGGGGAGUACGGUCGCGAGGCUGAAACUUAAAGGAAUUGGCGGGGGAGCACUACAACGGGUGGAGCCUGCGGUUUAAUUGGAUUCAACGCCGGA
rnacentral:rRNA from 1 species